rnacentral:rRNA from 1 species
CUAUAACGGUCCUAAGGUAGCGAAAUUCCUUGUCGGGUAAGUUCCGACCUGCACGAAUGGCGUAAUGAUGGCCAGGCUGUCUCCACCCGAGACUCAGUGAAAUUGAACUCGCUGUGAAGAUGCAGUGUACCCGCGGCAAGACGGAAAGACCCCGUGAACCUUUACUAUAGCUUGACACUGAACAUUGAGCCUUGAUGUGUAGGAUAGGUGGGAGGCUUAGAAGUGUGGACGCCAGUCUGCAUGGAGCCGACCUUGAAAUACCACCCUUUAAUGUUUGAUGUUCUAACGUUGACCCGUAAUCCGGGUUGCGGACAGUGUCUGGUGGGUAGUUUGACUGGGGCGGUCUCCUCCUAAAGAGUAACGGAGGAGCACGAAGGUUGGCUAAUCCUGGUCGGACAUCAGGAGGUUAGUGCAAUGGCAUAAGCCAGCUUGACUGCGAGCGUGACGGCGCGAGCAGGUGCGAAAGCAGGUCAUAGUGAUCCGGUGGUUCUGAAUGGAAGGGCCAUCGCUCAACGGAUAAAAGGUACUCCGGGGAUAACAGGCUGAUACCGCCCAAGAGUUCAUAUCGACGGCGGUGUUUGGCACCUCGAUGUCGGCUCAUCACAUCCUGGGGCUGAAGUAGGUCCCAAGGGUAUGGCUGUUCGCCAUUUAAAGUGGUACGCGAGCUGGGUUUAGAACGUCGUGAGACAGUUCGGUCCCUAUCUGCCGUGGGCGCUGGAGAACUGAGGGGGGCUGCUCCUAGUACGAGAGGACCGGAGUGGACGCAUCACUGGUGUUCGGGUUGUCAUGCCAAUGGCACUGCCCGGUAGCUAAAUGCGGAAGAGAUAAGUGCUGAAAGCAUCUAAGCACGAAACUUGCCCCGAGAUGAGUUCUCCCUGACUCCUUGAGAGUCCUGAAGGAACGUUGAAGACGACGACGUUGAUAGGCCGGGUGUGUAAGCGCAGCGAUGCGUUGAGCUAACCGGUACUAAUGAACC